CAGUCCGGCGCCUGAAGCGGCCGAAUCCUGCAUUUUCCUGCGGCCUGAAUCCACUCCUGCGGCCGUAGCACGCGGAUCUGUGACUAUCAGGUAGCCUACGAGUUCAUCCGCGCCUCUCCCGUCCGUGGUUUCCGACCUCAUCCGCCAGCUGCUCGACAUGGAGUUCGUGGCCGGCAAGAAGAUGCACUUCGGCGGCAGUGGCUCCAAGAUAAAGGGAGAUUUCAAGGACGAGGAGGACAGGAAGCUCAGAGCUGUCUACGAGACGCUCUCCGACUACAACCAGAAGCUGCAGUGCUACUCCGCUCGGCAGAUUGGUUCCAGUCUGCUCGGGAGCAGGGGCUAUCUGUGCCAGAAGGCUGGAGGCACCAAAACAGGAAGAGGUGGUGAUUCAGAAGGUCAAUCCGCAAGUGACAACUAAGAAGCUUGAGAGUGGGAGCUGGAGGGGAAGAUGCAAGUAAUGGGAAAUCCGCAAACAUUGGAUCCAACGUGAGCUCAUCCUUGUCUUUCAUAAAAGGAGAGCAAGGCGGCUGUCACCCUGAAGGUUCACUGGGAUAAAUGGCAAGAUGAGGAUGACAGUGCUAACAAAGGUGAUCCAGGUGAUAGGUCUGGCUUGAUAGGUCUGGCUUCCUCCAGGUGAUGCUUCUGGUAGUAGUUGCCGAAGUGUACCACUAGUUGUCUUUGGUUCUGUCCAAAAUGAUACAGGUAGAAUUAUACAGGUUUGCCUAACAUCUGGACAUCAAUCAGGCUUGUUUUUCUUUGUCAGUAUUGAAGACUAGAUCAGUACAAGUUUCUUUGUCAGGGCCUUGACAGAUAUGAAUCCGUUAAUAGCGUUGAUGUGUUCUGUGUGAUAUAUAGCUUUAUGUGAACUGGUACCUACACUGCUCUUUGGGAUGCUGCAUCGUAUUUUCUGUGAACAAGCUGGCAUUCAAUGCCUGCGUAUGGUCAGAUCAAAUGAGUAGUUUCAGUCUUGUGAUACUUAGGACCAAAUGGUGUUCAUGUUAUUGUAAUCCACACCACAUGCAGUGUGCAAUAGUCGUUGAUAGGUGUUGCUUCUGAUGGUAGCAGCCAGAGUGUGCCACUAGUUCAUUACAGCUUGUGUUGGUUCAGUCCAAAAACGAUACAUGUAGAUUUAGACAGGCUUGUAUAACAUCUGGACAUCAAUCAACACCUGGUUUCUUGUCAGUACUGUAGAUUAGAUCAGUACGUGUAAUCUUCCAAUAAAUUGAGCAUGCUCUAAACUGUCUUUAUUCUUGCUGCUUCAGGCCACGCUUUGAGGACAGCAUGAAGGACGAAGCGAUCAAAUGAUCAGAGAAUUGCCUUGCAAAUUUGACAAGGAGCAGAAGCAGCAGAAGGUGUCGAGGAGUCUGCGUUUGCAGACCUCGCAGGUGUUUGUGACGCCCUUGUCGGGCCUUGGCUGCUGCCGCUCGUUCAGGAACACCACA